GGCUUAAUAGUUUAAAAAAAAUUUAAAGUUGCAAACUUUGUGAUACUUAGGUUUAAGCUU
rnacentral:tRNA from 1 species